AACGAACGCUGGCGGCAGGCCUAACACAUGCAAGUCGAGCGAGGACUUCGGUCCUAGCGGCGGACGGGUGAGUAACGCGUGGGAACGUGCCCUUUGCUUCGGAAUAGCUCUGGGAAACUGGGAUUAAUACCGGAUGAGCCCUUUGGGGGAAAGAUUUAUCGGCGAAGGAUCGGCCCGCGUUGGAUUAGGUAGUUGGUCGGGUAAUGGCCUACCAAGCCGACGAUCCAUAGCUGGUUUGAGAGGAUGAUCAGCCACACUGGGACUGAGACACGGCCCAGACUCCUACGGGAGGCAGCAGUGGGGAAUCUUAGACAAUGGGGGAAACCCUGAUCUAGCCAUGCCGCGUGAGCGAUGAAGGCCUUAGGGUUGUAAAGCUCUUUCAGCUGGGAAGAUAAUGACGGUACCAGCAGAAGAAGCCCCGGCUAACUCCGUG
rnacentral:rRNA from 1 species